rnacentral:rRNA from 1 species
AUUGAACGCUGGCGGCAGGCCUAACACAUGCAAGUCGAGCGAGCGGCGGACGGGUGAGUAAUGUCCGGGAAACUGCCCGAUGGAGGGGGAUAACUACUGGAAACGGUAGCUAAUACCGCAUACCAUCAGAUGUGCCCAGAUGGGAUUAGCUAGUAGGUGGGGUAAUGGCUCACCUAGGCGACGAUCCCUAGCUGGUCUGAGAGGAUGACCAGCCACACUGGGACGACGACACGGUCCAGAUUCCUACGGUAGGCAGCAGUGGGGAAUAUUGCACAAUGGGCGCAAGCCUGAUGCAGCCAGGGCGCGUUAAUGAAGGAGGCCUUCGGGUUGUAAAGUACUUUCAGCGGGGAGGCGUUACUCACAGAAGAAGCACCGGCUAACUCCGUGCCAGCAGCCGCGGUAAUAC